rnacentral:rRNA from 1 species
AAAUUUAAUUUAAUUUGAUUUUAUUAACAUUUAAUAAAAAUUAUUUAGAAGUUUCAUUAGGAUUUCGAAAUUAUUAGGUAUUUGAACUUAGGAGGAUAUUGUUAUAUAAAUGUAGUUAUUUAAAAGUAAUAAAUUUAUGUACCUUUUGUAUCAGGAUUUAUUUACUUUUUAAGAGGAUUUCUUAUUUCCCGAAGUAAAUUGAUCUAUUUUAUUAUAAUAGUUUAUGUAGGAUAAUGAAUAUGAAUAGUAAGAUUGUAAUGAAAUGUUAUGCGUAAUUUAUGAUAUCUGGUUUCUUAAGAAGUUAAUUCAAUUAAGAUUAAUUUACUAUUUUGGAUUUUGUAUUCUAAUUAGGUUUAUUAAUUAAUGUUUAGGGGGAUAAGCUCCUGAGUGUAAUUAAAUUUAUGUAUAUUUAUUGAAUUGUAUGCUUUAAAUUAGCAAUCGCAUUAUCUUGUAAUAAUUUAUUAUUAGAUUAUAAAUUUAUUAUGGAUUAGUUUAUUUAUUAAGAAAUUUAUUAGAGUUAAGAUUUUAGAUUUACUAUGAUAGAAUUAGUAAAGAUUAUUGUAUAAAUUUUAGUGAGUUUAAUUCUGAUAAAGGAACUCGGCAAAUUAGUGUUCGCCUGUUUAACAAAAACAUGGUGGUUUGGCUAUUAAUAAAACAUCUGGCCUGCCCACUGUAAUUGAAGGGCCGCAGUAUAUUGACUGUGCAAAGGUAGCAUAAUCAUUAGGUUUUUAAUUGAAAUCUGGGAUGAAUGGUUUAACGAAAUACUAACUGUCUCUGUCAGAUAAUGUUUAAUUUAACUUUUCAGUAAAAAGGCUGAAAUAAGAUUGGGGGACGAGAAGACCCUAUAGAACUUGAUAACUUUUUUAAUUGUAUUCAUUUGGGUUAUUUAGUCUCUUAUUAAAUUAGUAAUUUUGCUGGGGCGGUAUAAAGAUAAAUUUAACUCUUGAUUUGUAAAUGGUUAUGAUUAGAUAAUAGAAUUAAUAUUAUUAAUUUAAGAUAAAGUUACCUUAGGGAUAACAGCGUAAUUUAUUUGGAGAGUUCAUAUUGAUAAAUAAGAUUGCGACCUCGAUGUUGAAUUAAGAUUUUAUAGAAAUGGAGCAGUUUCUAAUAAAAGUCUGUUCGACUUUAAAAUUCUUACAUGAUUUGAGUUCAAACCGGUGUAAGCCAGGUUGGUUUCUAUCUCCAUUUGGUUAUUAAAUUUUAGUACGAAAGGACCAUGUUUAAUAAAUAAUUUAUGAGUUUUGAAUAUUAU